rnacentral:rRNA from 1 species
GACGAACGCUGGCGGCGUGCUUAACACAUGCAAGUGGAGCGACGAACCGGGGCUUGCCCCGGGGCAGAGCCGCGAACGGGUGAGUAACACGUGGGUUACCUGCCCCAAUGACCGGGACAACCCGAGGAAACUCGGGCUAAUACCGGAUGUGGUCUUCGGACGAAAGGAAGCUUCGGCCUCCGCAUUGGGAUGGGCCCGCGGCGCAUUAGCUUGUUGGUGGGGUAACGGCCUACCAAGGCGACGAUGCGUAGCUGGUCUGAGAGGACGAUCAGCCACACUGGGACUGAGACACGGCCCAGACUCCUACGGGAGGCAGCAGUGGGGAAUCUUGCGCAAUGCGCGAAAGCGUGACGCAGCAACGCCGCGUGGGGAAGAAGGCCU